rnacentral:rRNA from 1 species
UACGUAGGGUGCGAGCGUUGUCCGGAAUUAUUGGGCGUAAAGAGCCCGUAGGCGGUGUGUCGCGUCGGCCGUGAAAACCUGGGGCUUAACUCUGGGCGUGCGGUCGAUACGGGCAUCACUAGAGUUCGGCAGGGGAGACUGGAAUUCCUGGUGUAGCGGUGAAAUGCGCAGAUAUCAGGAGGAACACCGGUGGCGAAGGCGGGUCUCUGGGCCGAUACUGACGCUGAGGAGCGAAAGCAUGGGUAGCGAACAGG